CCAACGGGCAGCAUAAAUCAAAGCAAUUUUACCACUCGAUUUGGACAAUUUCUUUUCAAUAAUUGCCCUGGCCACAUAAUCCUGAGCAUUAAGCCACGGAUCUAAUGCACCAUCCAUACAUUUAAUUAUUGCUUCUGGAUUAGACACCUUAGCAAUCUUUUUCAAUAAAUUCUCCAUCAUUGACAACACACAAUUCACUGAAAUGUCUAUACACAAUAUCUG